CACGUAGGGCGCAAGCGUUGUCCGGAAUUAUUGGGCGUAAAGAGCUCGUAGGCGGUCUGUUGCGUCCGCUGUGAAAACCCGGGGCUCAACUCCGGGCCUGCAGCCGAUACGGGCAGACUAGAGUUCGGCAGGGGAGACUGGAAUUCCUGGUGUAGCGGUGAAAUGCGCAGAUAUCAGGAGGAACACCGGUGGCGAAGGCGGGUCUCUGGGCCGAUACUGACGCUGAGGAGCGAAAGCGUGGGGAGCGAACAGG
rnacentral:rRNA from 1 species